ACAUUUAUAUAUAUUCACUUUUUUUUUUGGUAAUUCGAGAGUUUGUUGAACUGCAGCACGCGCUUAAAAGUUGCCCAGAUCGGCUAAAAUACAAGUUAAUGAACCUGACGCUCGAAAUCGGUAUAACCUACCUUGUCAAUUCAUAUUGAACCCUCUGGCACAGGUUGGGGCAUUCUAGAAUUUCAAGUGAAAGACACUCCGAUUACCAGAGCAGCGCCAAAGGCUAAGCCAUAAACGGAGCAAGUGAACCAAGAAGUGCUGCACGGAUUGCGCAAGAUUACACAGAAUUCUGUGGCUGCAACGGAAGUUAGUAAACGGAAGCAAUGCCUCGGCCUGGCCCAGGAGGAUCAGCGAGAACAGCAGCUAGAGGAUUCCUAGAAGAUCCUUAUUUGAGGCGCAGCAAUGAGGAAGGGACCUGCAUGACGUCAUAUCAGAAUCAAGCGACAGCUGAUGAGUCGCAUAAGGCACAAGCAGCUGCCCGGAAGUCAGCCUGGGGUUCUUCCCAUAGA